UGGUCAAGCUACUAAGGGCAUAUGAUGGAUGCCUUGGCACCAACAGGCGAUGAAGGACGUGGUAAGCUGCGAUAAGCUUCGGGGAGCGGCACGCGCGCUUUGAUCCGGAGAUUUCCGAAUGGGGCAACCCAUCCUCUGUCAUGAGAGGAUAUCCCAUACUGAAUACAUAGGUAUGGGAAGCAAUACCCAGGGAAGUGAAACAUCUCAGUACCUGGAGGAGUAGAAAUCAACCGAGAUUCCGCAAGUAGUGGCGAGCGAACGCGGAACAGCCUAAACCGGCGGGCUUGCCUGCCGGGGUUGCGGGACCUGCAUAACGGUACGCUAGAAGCUAGCAGAAACUUCUGGAAAGCUGUGGCAUAGAAGGUGAAACCCCUGUACGCGAAAGCGGACGGCGGCUAAGCAGGUAUCCCAAGUAGGGCGGAACACGUGAAACUCCGUCUGAAUCCGGGGGGACCACCCUCCAAGGCUAAAUACUCGUUGGUGACCGAUAGUGAACCAGUACCGUGAGGGAAAGGUGAAAAGAACCCCUGUUCGGGGAGUGAAAUAGAACCUGAAAUCAUAUGUCUACAAACUGUAGGAGCCCUUCGGGGCGACUGCAUGCCUUUUGCAUAAUGAGCCUGCGAGUUACUUUCUGCAGCAAGGUUAAGCCAAUGGCGGAGCCGAAGCGAAAGCGAGUGUGAAUAGCGCGUCUAGUUGUAGGGAGUAGACCCGAAACCAAGUGAUCUAUCCAUGGCCAGGCUGAAUCCUCUGUAACAGGAGGUGGAGGGCCGAACCAGUACGUGUUGAAAAACGUUUGGAUGAGCUGUGGAUAGGGGUGAAAGGCCAAUCAAACUUGGUGAUAGCUGGUUCUCUCCGAAAUAGCUUUAGGGCUAGCCUCGUGUUAUAGCAUACGGGGGUAGAGCACUGAUUAUUCGCGGGCCCUUACCCGGGUACCAACAAUAGUCAAACUCCGAAUACCGUAUUGCCUUAUCACGGGAGUCAGACUGCGGGGGAUAAGCUCCGUAGUCGAAAGGGAAACAGCCCAGCCCGCCGGCUAAGGUCCCUAAUUCGAACUGAGUGGUUGGAAGGAUGUGGAGUUGCAUAGACAGCCAGGAUGUUGGCUUAGAGGCAGCCAUCAUUUAAAGAGUGCGUAAUAGCUCACUGGUCGAGUGAUUCUGCGCCGAAAAUGAUCGGGACUAAGUUCGGAACCGAAGCCGCGGUUGCCCUGUUUAGGCAGGGCGAGGUAGGAGAGCGUUGUAUGCGGGCUGAAGCUCAGCCGUAAGGAUGGGUGGACUGCAUACAAGUGAUCAUGCAGGCAUGAGUAGCGAUAAGGAAGGUGAGAAUCCUUCCCACCGAAAAUCCAAGGUUUCCUGGGCAAGGUUCGUCCCCCCAGGGUUAGUCGGAUCCUAAGGCGAGGCCGAAAGGCGUAGUCGAUGGACAACAGGUUAAUAUUCCUGUACUUCUCUAUCGGAGCGAUGGAGGGACGCAGUAUGCUAGGCUGGCUGCCGACUGGAAGUGGCAGUCCAAGCGUGUAGGGUGGCCGGAUAGGAAAAUCCGCCGGCCUCUAACCUGAGGCGUGAUGGGACGUGGCGUCGACAGACAAAGCGAAUCAGCUGAUGCUCCGCUGCCUAGAAAAGCUUCUAAGCGUUGAUGAUAGGGAAUCCGUACCGUAAACCGACACAGGUAGAUGAGGCGAGAAGCCUAAGGUGCGCGAGAGAAACCACGUUAAGGAACUCGGCAAAAUGACCCCGUAACUUCGGGAGAAGGGGUGCCUCCAGCCGUGAUCAGACUUGCUCUGUGAGCAACUGGAGGUCGCAGAUAAGAGGCCCAGGCGACUGUUUAGCAAAAACACAGCACUCUGCUAACUCGUUAAGAGGAUGUAUAGGGUGUGACACGUGACCAAUGCCGAAAGGUCAAGCGGAUGAGUUAGUCUUCGGACGAAGCCCGGAAGCGAAGCCCCGGUGAAUGUCGGCCGUAACUAUAACGGUCCUAAGGUAGCGAAAUUCCUUGUCGGGUAAGUUCCGACCUGCACGAAUCGUGUAACGAUCUGGGCACUGUCUCAACGUGGUUCUCGGCGAAAUUGUAAUUCCGGUGAAAAUGCCGGAUACCCGCGGUAGGACGGAAAGACCCCGUGAACCUUUACUGUAAUCUGAUAUUGGCAUUUGGUUAUUCAUGUGUAGGAUAGGUGGGAGUCUGCGAAGCGAUCUCGUCAGGGGUCGCGGAGACAUUGGUGAAAUACCACCCUUGGAUGGUUGAAUGUCUAACCUUGACCCGUGAAUCCGGGCAAGGAACAGUGUCAGAGGGUCAGUUUGACUGGGGCGGUUUCCUCCCAAAUUGUAACGGAGGAGUUCGAAGGUCUGCUCAGCAUGGUUGGCAAUCAUGCGUAGAGCGCAAGGGUAUAAGCAGGCCUUACUGCGAGACCGACGGGUCGAGCAGUUGCGAAAGCAGGACCUAGUGAUCCAGCGGUUAAAUGUGGAAUUGCCGUUGCUCAUCGGAUAAAAGGUACUCCGGGGAUAACAGGCUGAUCGCGCCCAAGCGUCCAUAGCGACGGCGCGGUUUGGCACCUCGAUGUCGGCUCAUCACAUCCUGGGGCUGAAGAAGGUCCCAAGGGUUUGGCUGUUCGCCAAUUAAAGUGGUACGCGAGCUGGGUUUAGAACGUCGUGAGACAGUUCGGUCCCUAUCUGUUGUGGGCGUAGGAGAUUUGAAGGAACCUGUUCCUAGUACGAGAGGACCGGAAUGGACAUACCUCUAGUGUAUCUGUUGUCGCGCCAGCGGCAUUGCAGAGUAGCUAUGUUCGGCAGGGAUAAACGCUGAAAGCAUAUAAGCGUGAAGCCCCUCUCAAGAUUAGUUCUCCCUAGAUUUUUAAUCUCUAAAGACUCCUCGUAGACGACGAGGUUGAUAGGCUGCAGGUGUAAGCACAGCGAUGUGUUCAGCCGAGCAGUACUAAUAAGCCGUGAGGCUUGACCAU
rnacentral:rRNA from 1 species